GUCCGUGCAACUCACCUAUUGGCUUAGGAAAAAGGCUCCUCCCCAAUGCGGCUUCUUGCUCGAGCCGGCUAGUACGUGUGUACCUGCAGCUAUAGCUGGCUCGGUUUCCAUUUCCCAAGGUAACAGCAUGAAUCAUGCCAUCACCAUCAAACAAGUGGUGUCCACCAGUGGGCGCAUGCACAGGAUUAGCGCCGUUGCGCAAGUAAACGCCACGUAAGGUGUCUGGAAUCUGGCCAACAACCUUCAGG
rnacentral:misc_RNA from 1 species